UGUUACAAUGGGGGGUACGAGAGGGCCGCUACCACGCGAGUGGAUGCCAAUCCCCAAAACCUCUCUCAGUUCGGACUGGAGUCUGCAACCCGACUCCACGAAGCUGGAUUCGCUAGUAAUCGCGCAUCAGCCACGGCGCGGUGAAUACGUUCCCGGGCCUUGUACACACCGCCCGUCAAGCCAUGGGGAGCCGGGGGGUACCUGAAGUGCGUAACCGCGAGGAGCGCCCUAGGGUAAAACUGGUNACUGGGGGCUAAGUCGUAACAAGGUAUC
rnacentral:rRNA from 1 species